CCUACGGGUGGCUGCAGUGGGGAAUAUUGCACAAUGGGCGCAAGCCUGAUGCAGCCAUGCCGCGUGUGUGAAGAAGGCCUUCGGGUUGUAAAGCACUUUCAGCGGGGAGGAAGGCGGUGAGGUUAAUAACCUCAUCGAUUGACGUUACCCGCAGAAGAAGCACCGGCUAACUCCGUGCCAGCAGCCGCGGUAAUGCGGAGGGUGCAAGCGUUAGUCGGAAUUACUGGGCGUAAAGCGCACGCAGGCGGUCUGUCAAGUCGGAUGUGAAAUCCCCGGGCUCAACCUGGGAACUGCAUUCGAAACUGGCAGGCUAGAGUCUUGUAGAGGGGGGUAGAAUUCCAGGUGUAGCGGUGAAAUGCGUAGAGAUCUGGAGGAAUACCGGUGGCGAAGGCGGCCCCCUGGACAAAGACUGACGCUCAGGUGCGAAAGCGUGGGGAGCAAACAGGAUUAGAUACCCUAGUAGUC
rnacentral:rRNA from 1 species